GGGCCUGUGGUCUAGCUGGUUAUGACGUCGCCUUCACACGGCGGAGGUCAGGGGUUCGAAUCCCUUCGGGCCCA
rnacentral:tRNA from 1 species